UCGCAAGACCUUGCGCUAAAGGAGCGGCCGAUGUCUGAUUAGCUAGUUGGUGGGGUAAAAGCCUACCAAGGCGACGAUCAGUAGUUGGUCUGAGAGGACGACCAACCACACUGGGACUGAGACACGGCCCAGACUCCUACGGGAGGCAGCAGUGGGGAAUUUUGGACAAUGGGCGAAAGCCUGAUCCAGCCAUGCCGCGUGAGUGAAGAAGGCCUUCGGGUUGUAAAGCUCUUUCAGUCGGAAAGAAGCGAUUGUGAUUAAUACUCACAAUUAAUGACGGUACCGACAGAAGAAGCACCGGCUAACUACGUGCCAGCAGCCGCGGUAAUACGUAGGGUGCGAGCGUUAAUCGGAAUUACUGGGCGUAAAGGGUGCGCAGGCGGUCUUGUAAGUCAGAUGUGAAAUCCCCGGGCUUAACCUGGGAAUUGCGUUUGAAACUACAAAGCUAGA
rnacentral:rRNA from 1 species